rnacentral:rRNA from 1 species
UAGUUGGUGAGGUAACGGCUCACCAAGGCCACGAUGCAUAGCCGACCUGAGAGGGUGAUCGGCCACACUGGGACUGAGACACGGCCCAGACUCCUACGGGAGGCAGCAGUAGGGAAUCUUCGGCAAUGGACGAAAGUCUGACCGAGCAACGCCGCGUGAGUGAAGAAGGUUUUCGGAUCGUAAAACUCUGUUGUUAGAGAAGAACAAGGAUGAGAGUAAAACGUUCAUCCCUUGACGGUAUCUAACCAGAAAGCCACGGCUAACUACGUGCCAGCAGCCGCGGUAAUACGUAGGUGGCAAGCGUUGUCCGGAUUUAUUGGGCGUAAAGCGAGCGCAGGCGGUUUCUUAAGUCUGAUGUGAAAGCCCCCGGCUCAACCGGGGAGGGUCAUUGGAAACUGGGAGACUUGAGUGCAGAAGAGGAGAGUGGAAUUCCAUGUGUAGCGGUGAAAUGCGUAGAUAUAUGGAGGAACACCAGUGGCGAAGGCGGCUCUCUGGUCUGUAACUGACGCUGAGGCUCGAAAGCGUGGGGAGCGAACAGGAUUAGAUACCCUGGUAGUCCACGCCGUAAACGAUGAGUGCUAAGUGUUGGAGGGUUUCCGCCCUUCA